AUGCAGUUAUAAAGCUACCCCAUAUCUUGGCAUUUGAUUUUGAUUUGAAACACUAAUUAUUUUAAUAGCUAAAAAGCCCUAAAGGCUAAUUUAUAGGCAAAAGUAUUUUUAAAUAUUUUAUUUUGAGGGAAUUCUUGUCCCAAAAGUUGAAUCAUAUGAAAAUAUGAUUUUACAAAUUUUUUUGCAUUUUAUUUGGUUUGAAUUGGAGCUUUGAAUCAAAAUUGGUGUUCAAAAAUAGAAAAUAGAAAAAGAAAAAGGAAAGAAGAAAAAAAAAAGAACAACGGCCGGCCUGGCCAAAUGGGCCGAGCCAGCCCACUUACCUAGCGCGCCCGACCGCACCAGGCCGCUGCACAUCCCGUGCGCGCGCCCGAGCCGCCGACGCUGACGGGCAGGACCCACUGUCAGGGUCUUCUUCUCCAACCGCCACCCCCGAUUUCUCCGGCCACGACCUGAGUCCGCGCCCACGACGCCACCUCCGUUUUCUCCGUGCACGCAGCCCCAUCUUCGAAACCAAGCACAUCUGUUUGAAGCCCUCGACCCCCUCCUUCUUUUCACCCUUCGCUCUCACUCGAUUACGCCCCGAAACCGCCCCAAUUUCUCGCCCG
rnacentral:lncRNA from 1 species